rnacentral:lncRNA from 1 species
GUGUUGAAUUUAUUGGACUUAUUAUUUGUAAUUGUCACCCGCCUUCCCGUUGUUCUAUCUUGACGACAACGCGUGCUACUUCGUAUUUCUUGUUUGCAAAUAAUUCUCUACAUAUCUUUCCAUUAAAAUUUGCAUGCAUAAAGUAUUUGUCACUGGACGGUCAGGAAACAACAUUCAAUCAAUCAUAUAUCUUCUUAAAUAACAGCACUACAUGUAGAAUGAAUUUAAACAUAUUCAAAAGAAUAAAAAUAAGUAUUGAAUAUGAAAGGAAUAAAACGCAUCAUAAUUAAAGAUAUCUUGAUUGUAAGACGUGUGUUUCGCAUACAAAAGACUCAUCAGUGAC